rnacentral:lncRNA from 1 species
AUCAACGGAUAUUUUCGGAUAUAUUAUUUCAAUAAAUUAAUACAAUACACCAAGUUGAUUGGAAUUGAGGAAAUUUCAUCUCCUUAAAAAGAAAAAGGAAGGAAUUUUGUUUGAGUUAGUGGUGUUUGGGCCUAAAGGAGUCAAAAAUGGUAUCAGAACAUGUAUUAGCUUGGUGACUCAAAGAUAAUACAAUCUUGGAUCUUGUAAACCU